rnacentral:rRNA from 1 species
GAUGAACGCUGGCGGCGUGCCUAAUACAUGCAAGUCGAGCGAACAGAUAAGGAGCUUGCUCCUUUGACGUUAGCGGCGGACGGGUGAGUAACACGUGGGUAACCUACCUAUAAGACUGGGAUAACUUCGGGAAACCGGAGCUAAUACCGGAUAACAUUUGGAACCGCAUGGUUCUAAAGUGAAAGAUGGUUUUGCUAUCACUUAUAGAUGGACCCGCGCCGUAUUAGCUAGUUGGUAAGGUAACGGCUUACCAAGGCAACGAUACGUAGCCGACCUGAGAGGAUGAUCGGCCACACUGGAACUGAGACACGGUCCAGACUCCUACGGGAGGCAGCAGUAGGGAAUCUUCCGCAAUGGGCGAAAGCCUGACGGAGCAACGCCGCGUGAGUGAUGAAGGGUUUCGGCUCGUAAAACUCUGUUAUUAGGGAAGAACAAACGUGUAAGUAACUGUGCACGUCUUGACGGUACCUAAUCAGAAAGCCACGGCUAACUACGUG